GAGUUUGAUCAUGGCUCAGGAUGAACGCUGGCGGCGUGCUUAACACAUGCAAGUCGAACGGUGAACCAGGAGCUUGCUCUUGGGGAUCAGUGGCGAACGGGUGAGUAACACGUGAGCAACCUGCCCCUGACUCUGGGAUAAGCGCUGGAAACGGCGUCUAAUACUGGAUACGAACCACGAAGGCAUCUUCAGUGGUUGGAAAGAUUUUUUGGUUGGGGAUGGGCUCGCGGCCUAUCAGCUUGUUGGUGAGGUAAUGGCUCACCAAGGCGUCGACGGGUAACCGGCCUGAGAGGGUGACCGGCCACACUGGGACUGAGACACGGCCCAGACUCCUACGGGAGGCAGCAGUGGGGAAUAUUGGACAAUGGGCGAAAGCCUGAUCCAGCCAUGCCGCGUGUGUGAAGAAGGUCUUCGGAUUGUAAAGCACUUUAAGUUGGGAGGAAGGGCCAUUACCUAAUACGUGAUGGUUUUGACGUUACCGACAGAAUAAGCACCGGCUAACUCUGUGCCAGCAGCCGCGGUAAUACAGAGGGUGCAAGCGUUAAUCGGAAUUACUGGGCGUAAAGCGCGCGUAGGUGGUUUGUUAAAGUUGGAUGUGAAAUCCCCGGGCUCAACCUGGGAACUGCAUUCAAAACUGACUGACUAGAGUAUGGUAGAGGGUGGUGGAUUUUCCUGUGUAGCGGUGAAAUGCGUAGAUAUAGGAAGGAACACCAGUGGCGAAGGCGACCCCUUGGACUGAUACUGACCUUGAGGUGCGAAAGCGUGGGAACAAACAGGAUUAAAUACCCUGGUAGUCCACCCAUAACGAUUCAACUAGCCCUGGGAACCUUGAGCUCUUAGUGGCGCAGCUAACGCAUUAAGUUGACCGCCUGGGGAGUACGGCCGCAAGGUUAAAACUCAAAUGAAUUGACGGGGGCCCGCACAAGCGGUGGAGCAUGUGGUUUAAUUCGAAGCAACGCGAAGAACCUUACCAGGCCUUGACAUCCAAUGAACUUUCUAGAGAUAGAUUGGUGCCUUCGGGAACAUUGAGACAGGUGCUGCAUGGCUGUCGUCAGCUCGUGUCGUGAGAUGUUGGGUUAAGUCCCGCAACGAGCGCAACCCUUUUCCUUAUUUGCCAGCGGGUUAAGCCGGGAACUUUAAGGAUACUGCCAGUGACAAACUGGAGGAAGGCGGGGACGACGUCAAGUCAUCAUGGCCCUUACGACCAGGGCUACACACGUGCUACAAUGGUCGGUACAAAGGGUUGCUACUCCGCGAGGAGAUGCUAAUCUCAAAAAGCCGAUCGUAGUCCGGAUCGCAGUCUGCAACUCGACUGCGUGAAGUCGGAAUCGCUAGUAAUCGCGGAUCAGAAUGCCGCGGUGAAUACGUUCCCGGGCCUUGUACACACCGCCCGUCACACCAUGGGAGUUUGUUGCACCAGAAGUAGGUAGUCUAACCGUAAGGAGGACGCUUACCACGGUGUGGCCGACGACUGGGGUGAAGUCGUAACAAGGUAACCGUA
rnacentral:rRNA from 1 species